GUGGCUUUACAUGUUUUAAAGAUUCAUGCUUUGAAUUAUAUAUAUGUGAAGCUUUAUGUGAAUGUAUUAGCCUACAUUAAAUUUAUGACGUCGGGGAACAAUAUUC
rfam:Brassica napus, WGS project CCCW01000000 data, contig: 1946